AGGCCUGUCCAUAGAUUGCACUUCCAGUAAAGUGCAGCUUCUUUUCUCUUUAUCAGAACGUGUGUUGUCAUGAGUUUUUUUUUUAUAUGCAGUGAGUUGCCACCAUAUGUUGUGAAGAGGAUUUUUGUGCUUCUCUGGGAUUUGUUUUUGACAGUGUCGCUCCCCUACUGUUUCCAAUGAGCUUCAUUCACAGACGAUAUGAACCUGUUCAGAGAAGUGAGCUUUGGAGUACAAAGUAUCAAAAUCUAAGAAACUGGAUCACUAACCAAGAAGACACUCUGGCUACAGCAGCAGUCACAUGCCUAGAUCCUCCAACUAGCACACAGUGAGCCAGUAGCUGGGUUAAUCCACUGACAUCACUACCCCUCCCUCCUCUAAUGGCUGGAGUCAAAGCAAAAGGCAAGAGAAAGCAGACAGAGGGACCACAUGGUGUGAGGACAUUCACCGUUAGCAAUGACACAAGACACACAUCAAAAGCAAGAAAAAAGACAUGGCCUCCUCCCCUGGAUAUUGUUUCUUGAGCCACUUCCUUUCUUAUAGUACCUGCAGCAGACACUUAACGUGUUCUUUAACAGAAGGUCUUAGAGCCUUUAAUGGUUCCUAAUGGUUUCCAGUGUAAGAUCACUCCUGCUUAAUGAAUGUUAAUGGGAAUCAAGGGCCCUCUGCAUGUAGACAGUCCCAUGAUUCUCACCUUCAGGAAGUGAUGACAGCCUCCUAUAGCACUGGGUUGCUUUCUGAUAGCAUUGCCUCUUAUUACACCAAAGUUGUUGUUUUUUUUAAGACCCUAGAGAGGAGGGGAGAGCUGCAUAUCUACUUCAGUAAAUUGUACUGCUUAUUUCUUUUUUCUUUCUUCUGCUGCCUUUUUUUCUAAAUGGGUCAAUUUGACACUCUUGUCUAACUUCAUAAUAAAGACUGUGGAGACAAUACAGCGUGACUAGUGUAGCCGUAUCAAACAGCAGACAGUUCGCCUGUCAUUAGGCAGAUUGAGGUAAUAAAAUGUAUUCUUGGAUCGCUUUUAAGAAUGAUCAAAGCCUCAGAUAAAUCAGACUAUUUUGACUACAGCUAUGAUUUUGGACCUGGUAAUUAGCAUUUAAACCUCUUCAGAUCAUAUCAUUAAACUAUUUAUGCAACAAGGGUCACUCAGAUUGUAUUAUACAUGGAUGAAAAAGAAGCAGAAUAUACUGUAGCACCUACACAAGAUGGCAGCUUUUUCCUCCAAGGUGUAAUCAUCAUCAUUGUGAACAUGAUCAAUCAAAUGCUUUGUAAAGUUUUUCUCUAAUAAUCCAUUGUGUACUAUGUAAAAAUAAAUGCCUUUUGUUGUUGAGUCCCAUUGUUCUUCGCCAUGAUAAUUAUGAGUGCAUGUACAGUAUAUGAUUACA